UAGCAUUUAGCUUAAAAGGGAAUUCGGUGUCAAUCCGAAGCGGUCCCGCCACUGUAACGAGGAGCUUUAUUUCUUAUACCACUGUUUCUAGUAUUGAAAUGGGAAGGUGAAAUCAAGUGUUGAUUCGAAGCCAGGAGACCUGCCAUUUAAUAU
rnacentral:ncRNA from 1 species